rnacentral:rRNA from 1 species
CGACAAGUGGGCUUACGACCUCGAUGUUGGAUCAGGGUAACCCAGUGGUGCAGCAGCUACUUAAGGUUCGUUUGUUCAACGAUUAAAUCCCUACGUGAUCUGAGUUCAGACCGGAGUAAUCCAGGUCAGUUUCUAUCUAUAAAGAGAUCUUCCUAGUACGAAAGGAUCGGAAAAUCGUGGCCUACUAAUCGCUCGAGCCAUAACAGCUAUUCAUGACACCAACUCAAAAAAUAUUAUGCCUCUUCACCCACUAAAGAAAAUAGUA